AACACAAGUGACCAACGAUUCCCCCUGCACAGACCCAGUCCUGUCCUAAAUUGUGAACCCCACAUGCCCAUCAGUGGUGUGGGCCUGGGCCAGCAAAAAUGAACCAGUAUGCAAUCUGCCAAUGCAGACUGCUCCCUUCUGCCACUCCACCCCAGGAUUUCCCAGAAGGUAUCAGACAGUUUCCUUUUUGAUGAGAGGAGAAAGAGCUUGUCUUUGGGUGAGAAUCCACAAGGAUUUUUGUCCCAUUCUGCAGGCAUCCAUCCCAGCUACCUUUCUAAUUCCACAGGUAAGAGGAUACUCACUCAUUUCCUUUCAAAGAGAUCCGUUUUUGGAGUUUGGGGCUAUUUGUGAGUGACAUAUUGGGGCA
rnacentral:lncRNA from 1 species